AGGAAGGUCGCCGCCUUCUUGGGGGUGGCGCCGAAAGCAGCCGAGAAGGGGGGAGGGAGUUUGCACGGUGGAGAGGCUUCGCCCGUUACGGAGCCGCCCCGCCUGCUUCCUGCGGGGCUGGGCGCAGGCCCAACCGACCCCCUCAGCGCGGUGCCGCGCCUGCUGGGCAGCCCAGGCCCUGCGGGCACGCCCUGGGCCGGGCCUCCUCCUGCUGUCGCUGUGGGGCAGCGGAGAGAAGACGGACCCUCUGCCCGUGUCGCCCGUGGGCUGGAGAGGCCGGGGGUGAUGGUACUUGGGUCUCUCUGGCCCUGUCUGGUCAUGCUCUCUCAGGAUUAGGAUGAAGAAGGCUCAGGGUCCCAGGCAAUGGUGAAGCUCAGUCCAGUAGCCUUCAUCUGUUCUGUAGUCCCCCCCACAGGCUUUCUCUUUAAGGACUCACAAAGGAAAUGGUGGAUGGAAUCCCCUCAUUAUUUUGUGCACCAGUUAGGCCUAAUAUCCAGCACACCAAUUUGGUUAAUUAAUAUCUGAUUCCCCUUCUUCUGUUUUUACCAGGCAUUAUUUCAACAUAGUCUUUGAAUUAUAUUAAUGUGGCCUUUUUUUUUUUUUGAACUCACUUAGUCUCUUUGUCUGGUUCUCUUGCACCUGUUUGUAAUGUUCAUUAUUGAAAGCAACUUGACUUAUAAUAAUAAAUGUGAAUAGGAAGUAUUGUAACAUUUUAUGAUCUUUCAUAUACUUCACAAUUGCACUCACAAACAGUAAAAUUAUAGACCCAAUUAUCACAAAGCUGCCCACUGCCAGACAUUGCAUGUUUAUGGCAGGAAUCCCGGACAAACCACAACACGGAGCUGUAUAGACAGACAGGAGCAGGAUUAUCUGCCAUUCAGCAGGAUCAUAGAGGAGGCUGGUGGUAGCUCACACAUUUCCCUUCCAUAGCCUUGGAAACAGUGGGAAGACUGAGAGUAGUUAGGGUGCUGGUGUGCCUAUCAUGCUGACUAUUAUCAUCUCAUUGUUUCUUUGUACCGCUGUAUGUCUCUCUGGGGUAGAUAAUAAUCCUUUUGUUCUGUGUUUGUACAGCACUUGGCCCAGUGGGCUCCUGGUCCAUGAUUAGGGCUACUGUGUGCUACAAUAAUAAUGGCCCCCCACUCUAAGAGAGCAGGGACCCUACAAGUGCAAUUCCACAGUGUGACCAAGAUUUUCCAAUAUAUGAGUACCUAAAGUUAAGCACAUGUGUGAAGAUUUAGAAUCCUAAAAAAGUUAACUAUUCUCUAAAAGCACGGAACAGCUCCCUCUGAAGUAAUUGACUUCAGCAGCGACUACUGAAUGAUCAGCUCUUCUGAAAAUCAGGUCCCUUCUUUAGGCUCCAAAUUUGGUCACCCAGUCUUUAAAAAGCUUCGUCUAUUCCUCUUGAGACUGCUCAGUUUUCAUUCCUUCUGAGCAUGAAUCAGGCUUUAUAAAGUUGGGAAUUCAAGUAAACUCAAAAUAAGGAUAUUUGAAACAAUUAACAAAACUUAACCUUUCCAGCAGGCGAUCUGUGAGUGAUGAGAGGGCAGAAAGUCAUUUGGAGCAACUACUGGUACUUCUAAUUUUUAAUAGGUGGUGGGGGAAAAAACCCAAACAUUUCAAUAAGCAUGAUUCAGAGUGUACAAAAAUAGGUUCCCCAAGAACAAAACAAAGGCUUUGUUGUUUUUUUGCAAAGUCAAGAUGUACAUGACACUUUAAUGGGGUUUGGAUGAAAUAAAUAACUGCGGCAUGUGUGUCAUGGAACAUGUGCUCCAGUUUGUUUGCUGUGACUUUCUCAGUAAUUUGCAUGCCUUCACAUUUUAUUUUUAAGCAAGAUGAUUAAUGCAUAUGAAAUAAGUUCAUGCAAAUAGUUACUGAAAAUCAGUAUGCUAGCUGAAGGGUUAUGUGCUGAAUGCUCCAAAAAGGAAAGGUUAAAUGAGUGUCUCUCAAGAUUCCCUGAGCCUGGCCUAGAUCCACAAAGAUACUUAAGUGCCUAACCCCUGAUUUAGGUACCACUGUGAUCCACAAAACCCCCACUUAGCUGCUGCCAACUGUGUAGUGUCUAACUUGGUGCUUAAAUUUCUGCUGUAAAAGUUCCCAAGCACCUUUGUUUUGGCCUCUGGCCAUGCACAUGGCUGCCUCCUUCUAGGGGUCACAUAUCUCCUGCCUGAGCCUCAGAACAAUCCAGGGUCGGGGGGGAAAAUAGCAUUCGGACGCCUGACUCAUGUGCCGGGUCCAUCCCACUGGGGUGCUCAGAGGCUGCCUAACUCCACAGCAAACUGCCAGGGGGAGGAGAUAGACCCGAGGAACAGAGGGCUUUUGCCCCAUCACUUAAAAGCCCUCCCUGAGCAAUGCAGGGAGGGGGAGGAGAGGAGCAGGCGAGGGGGGGAAUGAUGACACUAGUUGUCAAGUGCUAAGAAUAGGUGCAGGGCUGAACAAGACAAUGGGCCAGACUACCUGCCCUCUGGGCAUGUUCACGGUGGGAGGGGACAGGUAUUGCAAAGAACCUCCAUGCAGUACUGCUCUGGGCCAGCCACAGUGCCUGUGUUCAGAAAAGUGCAAGGACUGCUCCCUUUGCGUACCUGGGGUACACGUCACUGCAGGUGGGUCAUGCCUAUCUAAGCAGCCUAACCUAAUUUAAAAGAUGUUGCCAUCCACGCACCUCUCCUGUACUCCAGGCAGCUCAGGGAGGGAUUAUACUUCACAAAGUCAUAAACCUGCCACCCCCAUGUAUUAGCUGAGGUAUAAUGCCCCCUCUAAAGGCACAAUCUGAUUCCAAAUGACAACUGUCCCUGCAUCUAAUUGCUUACAAUCUAAUAGCCAGACACCAAAAACUGGGUAUCUAAAUAUGUUUUACGUGUCAAGUCAGCCUGUGGAACUUGUAGCCACAGGAGGAGGCAUGCACCACAGGUGACUUUUAAAAGGACUGUAUAAUUGUAUAUUCUAUAACAACAUAUGCAGCUGUGUAGGCUAAGGCAAGGAGGAGAAUCUCAUGUUUCUGGGCAUAAGUUGUGCUUCACUGGCCUACAAAAGGAAAAGCAUUGCAGUGUAUCCUCAAACAGGUCUAUUAUAGGGGAGGUUUCCCCUUCCUCAGAAACUACAUGCAUUGGCACUUCCGCCCCCUGCUUUCUUAUGUUAUCUUUCUGCCUUCCAUCUAAGCUAGCACUGUAUCCUCCACCUUCUCCCACCCAGCCUCUCCCAUUUCAACUUGAGCCUCCAUUUCUUGUUCAUCCUUUUGGUUUCCCUCUUUUUCGCUCUCUCUGUUGAGGACCCCUCUCACUCUUCUCCAUUCUGUCAGACUGCCUCUCACUUCACUUAGGCUGCCACUACACUGCUAGCUAGGGGUGUGAAUCCCAGCUUGUGUACACAUAUUCGCGCUAACUCAUCAAGCGCAAGUAUAAAUAGUGCAGUUGCGGUAGCACAGAUAGUGCCAGCGGUGGCACCUAUGUACCUACACAGUUCAGGUGGGUUUGUACUUGGCAGGGCUAAACUGUGUCUCCGCUUCCCAUGCCACCGCAGAUAUACUGCUAUUUAUCUUUGCACCAGCUCUCAUUGAGUAUGUCUACACAAGCUGGGACUCACUCCCACCAAGUAGUGUAGACAUAAUUUUAAACUCCCCUCCCUACGUUUCUUCUCCCCUUCUCUUUCCUGGCCACCUCUUCCCCCCCAUUUCCUUCCUGCUCUUGAAGCAUAGCACUCAUUCCCCAAAUGGCUACCAUCUCACAUGACUUUGAAUGGGUCGGUAACAACAGGCUGCCAUCUUUUGAUGCAGGAGAUUAAUUUUUACUCUGUAUACGCGCAGUGUCUAGCAAGUAGAGCCCAGAGCUUGGUUAGGGUCUUCAGGUACCACUGCAGUCAUCAUAAGCACCACCUACACAUUUAGCAAUAUUCCAUAACUUGAAUAAAAUCUUGAUAUCUUGAAAUCUAGGCUUUGCAAGCACAUUUACACAGCUCUGGUGGUGUCUUCGGCAGUAAGGGGUUAUUGAGAAUCGAGCCUUGACUACAGUUCUCUAAGUACACCUUUUGGUACAGCAUCAGUCAGCACCACAUUAGAAUCCAGCUUGAGCCAUUGCUUAUAGUGUGUUCUUUUGAUUGCAGCAAUUGAGUUUCUUUGGGCAAAACUAGCUUUUGUUCAUCUUUAGUAGCUGAAAUCAAAUUAAGCUAAACUGAACAGGAAAUAAGCAUAGCAGUAAUUAAGAACAAAUUCAUGCACAUCACAUUCUAAAUCAGCAGAUAAUUCUGCGUGGGUGAACCAACUCCUGCAUUAGGUGUAACUCGCAGCUUUUGUUUUGCUGCCCUUUGGAGCUGGCGCAAAGAUGAGCUGUAAAUAAAAUUAAUAAAACAGGAUAAUAGCAAUGAACUGAGAGCAAAGGUUCACAGCAAUUUUGUACUCAGGAUUCAUUUUGUGUUCUGUUUCAGCAUGAUGUACAUGGUGGAAAAAUAUGGUUAAUUACAGUUGGACCUAAACACUUCUUCUGCCAUCCGGGGUUGGACUAUACCAAAAUGCCUCUGUACAGUAGGAAAGUUCUAAAAUGGUUCUGUUAACAGCCCUAUAUGAAAAAAACCUAACACAGGCAACAGAGGAAGUGGAUAAUGAGAUUUUUUCUUAUACCAAACAACUGGUAUGAAUAAGCAGCCAGUAAUUGCUUACUUAUAGAGAAAACAACAUCUUGUGCCUCUGCGUCUCACACUUUCUCUACACUGGAGAAAUGUGGCAUGCUCAGCACCUGUUUGGAACCCUAGCACUCAUGGAACAUGUCCACAUCCAAAAUUGCUAGCAGGAAUGCAAAGGUGUUCACACCACCAUUGGGGUUGCAGAUGUGAACAGCUGGCGUAAUACGAUACCAUCCUAGCUGCAUUUCACUGCUCAUUCAGCUAUAUAUAGUAUGCAGCAAAGCCUGUGUCCUCUCUUGUACAGUUUAUUAAGUAUCUAACCCUGGUUGUAACAAAUGUUAUGCAGAACACAACUGGGAGGUAGUAGACCACACUGUAGAUGGCAGCGUUACUACAGGCUGGGGGAGGCCCCCUUUACCUUGCGAUAUAAGCCAUCCAAAUGUACAAUCCACCAUGCUGCACCUGCUGAUUCUGUAGUUUGGUUUCAUGACCUAGGGAAGCAGUGGCUGUGCAAAUUCUUUGAGACUCACAAUAGGGACGAAGACCCUUUGAAUAUUAAUAUUGAGGGGUGGUGAGUGUGGACUUCUCAGGAGCAGAUAGGGGGCAAAGAAUUCUUUAAAAAAAAUUUGGCAUCAUGCACUUUGCCUGUCCAUCCUGCAUAAACAUCCUAGCCACAAUAAUCAACUAAAACUUGCACCAACACACGUGGUAGCCUCAAGUCCUUUGUCCAACAUGAAGAGAUUUGCAGAUAGUCCUUGGUCAGCUUGGCUAGUUAAAUGUCCCUGCUAUUCUACAUCUUGUCACACACAAAUAUCUGAGCAAGGUAUUAAUCUUGCAUUGUAAAGAUUAUCUGAAGCCCUGAGGUUAACUGACUUGCAUUAGGGCCUUAGUGAAUCAAGUGGCAGAGUCAAGACCAACACUUAGCAUCAGGUCAUCUGGGUUCUAACCAGCAUGGUUAGUAUGUGGACAUUGUCCACCUGCUUUUUUAAUAGUGCUUAAGUCUCCCUUGGUUUAUUUUUUCUUCCUAGAUUCAACUCUUCCUUCUAGAUGUUUUUGUACAACAUUACUCUUACAUGAAGGGAACAAUACUGCCUUACUGUAAUAUUCACAAUAGCUCUUGCACCUACCAACUCUCAUUCUGUACUGGAGAGGUCGGGUAAGCUUGUUUUAGAGACUUUAGUCUUGGCCAAGAACCAGACUUUUAACAAAUUAUGGUAUUCCAUAAUAUCGCAUACUGUAACUGAAAACUUGAAGCAUUUCUGACAGCUGGAGCCCCAUGGAAAUUAGCACAAUAAGGGAAUGUAGCUAAUUUUGAGAACUAGAAAAUAAGAACUGGGUAGACUAAAGUUAGGGGAAUAUAUUUAUGGGAAAUCAGUUGUUUUUUCAACAACUUGCUCCCUUCACUCACAAUAUAUAUAACAAUUUAAUGGGAAAAUAACUGGGAUAACAGCAGAGUAUGGCAAAAGCAGCAUAUUUGGCUGGGAGGGAGUAACUCAGCUUGGUCAAUAGUGACCCCUCUUAGAAAUGAGUAGCUUUUGUGGAUCAGCUUCUGGAGUCCUAUUUAGUUCAGAAGGAUAGCAGGAUGGAAGCAAUGGAGGACAUUUUCAGGGCUCUAGACAAGAUGGGGAGAGAAGACAUGAAAAGAAUCACCACAGUACUAGGGUUUGUGAAAUUCAUAUCUGUUUCCUUUUUAGAUGUAGGAUGAGUACUUGGAAAGAGUCCCAGUUAGUUUAUUGAGGCUGUGUCCUAAGAGCAGUUGACCUUGUCACACAGAUAAAAGUAGAAUGGCUCCUCUUCCUGCCAGGAGCUGCUCCUCACUGGUAGUCUACCUUGCCCAUAUUUCUACCAUCUCUCCUGUGGAGCUCUGAAGAUCCAUUUCCCCUUGCUUUAACACUCCCUUGCCCACACACAACUAUACUGCAGCUGCCAUCAUUCCAGCCAAAGAGGAAAAGUAGAUGGGACUCCCUACAGAACCUUGCUGAUGGCCCUUAUCUAAUUUCAGGAGCCAGUGAUUAGUGGAGAGAGUUUUCUCCUCAGGCUUGGUGCACAGCCUCACCUUGUCUUUGGUUCUUUGCUUCAUUGGAGGUUUGACCUGCCAUUCCAGAUCCAAGUACUGAGUUGGUCCCACCCACUUUCAUCUAUAGAGGCAGCAUAUGCAAAAUUUUUCACUGGUACCAAAUUCCAGCAUUGAAAGUAUCCAGAUGCUGUGCUGCUUAUAAAGAUAUCUCCACAUGGAGAGGCUAGUUUUACUCUAUCUCGGUAUUUCAUUUUCUUUAAUAUGUGAAGUGACUUUUUUAGGCUCUAGUGUGAGGUCUCACUGGGAAAACACUAACACUCUGUACAAAGCUUUGUCUGUUGGCUCACUGCUCAUUAUCAAUGGGUAAAAGCUUUUAGUAGAAAAUCUAGCAGACGUCCCCAUCCCCCCACAUACACUGAUGCACCUUGGUUUUCAAUACGAAAAUGAUUUUCACUCUUCAUAUUAAACAAUAAAAUCACUACUUCAAGCAGGGUAAUUCCAAGGCAGUGCCAGGAGUUGUACGAAUUCCCCAGAGUCUGAAAUGGAGAAGUGAAACGCUCCCGAGAGAAAAAAAUGCCAUGUCCAUUGAAUCCUCCAACAAAGUUCUUGGUUUCUACAGGGAAGACCCUGUUAAAUAAACAAAGAGGAGAGUUGAAAAAAAUUGUGAGUGUAGGGGAGCAGGUGCUUCACAGAAAACGUAUACACUGUAGAGAAAUCAGUCCUGGGAAGAAUUUUGUAUGCAUGGACCGCUCCCCCCCAUCCACCUCCCCAGAUCUGUGCUAGGCCUGGGCUGCUUGAGGAAAAUGCAGACCUAUCUUUCAGCAAGUCCCAUUGCCACCAAUUAAGCAUGAAUGUAGAUUGGGUUCAAGCAUUUUUACCACAGUCAUAAAACCUGUUCUUCAAAAAAACCUGAGUCCUAUGCACACAAGUACAGCUGCAUUGCUACUGGGGGGAAUCACCCUAAUGCAGAUGCUUUGUAGAGGAGAGGAGAGGAUAAGAAAUCAACAAUAUCAGAUCUUCCAAGUUAUUCCUUUCUGGCCUUCCUGGUGCAUUUGAUCUUUUCUAGAGUCUCAAAAUAAGUGACUCUGGGCAGGGACUAUUUUUAUUUAGUGAGCUGUACAGAACUGACCUAAUACAAAGUAAACAAGACAGGUGACAAUAACUCUAAAUUUUCAAUAAGGGAUGGUUAGAAAUCUGUCUAAUUUUUAUUUUUUUUAGUAAUGAACAGGGAAUAGUAGCAAGGAUCAAGUCACAAAUAGGCCCAGCGUCACUGUAAACCAUUGCACUAGUACUUAACAUGGAUAUAGAAAUUACAAAUAUAUUAACAUGAUUAGUUCUCAGGCAAUUAUCAAAAAUACAAUAAGGUCAGCAUGAAUCUAAUAGGAUGCUACUAAACCAAAUGUCCUUCAAAGCAGAGUGACUCCCCUGAA